UGCUUUAAUGUUAAAAAUGUUACAAUUAGUAUAUUUAUAUUUAUGGCUAAAUUUUUAUCAUAUAUUUUUAUUUUUAGUUUGUACCUAUUUUUAAUUUACAAAUAUUUUUUAAUUUGUACCAAUUUUCUUUUCAUUUUUAAUUUGUACCCAUAUAUAAGUUUCCUUUUGUGCUCAUAUUUUUUAAAAUUUUAUUUGUGUUUGUACCCAUGUGUAUACCGUCACGUGACAUUGUAUAUUUAAUCAAUAAUAGAAAAAUUACAUAUGGUAUAUUUAUGUUUUUAUGCCUAAACUUUGUAUCAUAUAUUUAUAUUUUUAGUUUGUACCCACUUCUAAUUUGCAACAUUUUUUUUUAAAUUUGUAGUAUUUUCUUUUUAGUUUUAUUUUGUACCCAUGUAUUAAUUUCUUUUAGCGCCUAUAUUUUUAAAAAUUCAUUUGUAUUCAUAAUUUUUAAUCUUUUAUCUGUAUUCUCAUUUAUUUCUAAUGUGCCCAUUCUUCUUUAUUAAUGUACCACUUUGUUAUAUGUGAAAUGUACCAAUUUUUUUGUAAAAUGUACCAAUUUUUUUAACACUAUGGAUACAUUCUUUUGCCAUUGAUUAUUUCUUAUUUUUACAUAGUUUUUAUCCAUUUAUUCAAUCAAAAUGUUUGAAUUUGUUUAUUGUAACCAUUUCUAAUAGUAUUAUAAUGAGAUAUUUUAAAUUUAUAGGAUUAUAAAUCUCAUAAAAUAUCAAACAAUUAAUGUCAAAACUAUAAAACUAUAAAUAUUAAUAGUAAUAUAAUGAGGUGUACAAAGUCAAGGGACCUUGAUCAAACUUUGAAUACUAUUAAGGUUUUAAUUAAAGAAUGUUAAGGAUUAGGGACCGCAUCCAAAAAUUUACAUCUCACAAACUAAACAACAAAGGUUCCUUAUUCUUUUGUCUAAAACUUGAGUGUUACAUAUGAAAACUCUAAUGAUAACUUCUAGUUUCUAGAUGUUGUAUAAAGAACUUAGGUUUCUAGUUCAAUACCUGCAAGAUCUAUAAAGAGGUGAGCAAAACCAUAUCUCAAUAGAGACAUAAACCUCAUCAUGAAUAAUUGAUCAAACUAAACAAAGUGACACACAACCAUAGAUUUCAAUCAUAAGAGAAACAAUGAUUCCAUGAUGAAUGCAUGAAUGUUCCCUCAUUCCCACCUCUAUUCUCGUUAGUCCAUACUCCAAUACACAUAGACCUCACAUGUCUCAUACCAUGCUUUGGCCUUGAGUGUCUUAUUAUAUGAAUUGUCACCCAUGAAACACAUUCUUUCACUUUCCAUUGUUCUUUCAAAUCACAAUGUCAUUCUCUCAGUCACCAAGUUGUCCCUCACAUAAAGAUCGUCUUUACCUCCAAUCUAUUAUGCUUACUGGAAACCUUGGUACUUAGGAGAGUUGAAUCCAUCUUUCCCAUACAUAAUACCAUUCCAAUUCUUACGGCACUAACCCAUGUAACUACCACGACUCAUGCCUCUCAUCAUUGAAAUGCAUGAUAUGAAUUACGUCAUGUAUAUGCAUGCCAUAAUUAUUUGAAGAAUAAUAUCAACAAUAGUUCUAUAUCAUUUCCAUCAUAUUAUAUCCAAGAAGAGUAGGUGGUCAAACCAAUCAUUCGAUAACAAACAUAAGCACAUUAAUUCUCACAAAUUAACAACAAUGAGUUACAGUUAAGGAAAGAUAUGGGGAUUUAAGAAGAAAGUAGAGGCAGUGUAUGACAUAUAUUUGAAAGGGAUAUUUCAAAUCAACAUACCGUUGACUACAGACCAGUUCAUCUCAAGAUCAAAAGACCUAACCUUUAUCGAAUGAGAUUUCUCGUUUUUCAUGUACAGGCAACUGACGCAAUGCAUCAUCAUAAUGGUGUCAGAAGCAUGGAGUUCAAGGCAACUCAUUUGGGAUUGAAGAUGCUGCCGCUUCAAACCCAAAAGUCACAUUGUUUACAAAAAAGUUUGAAGACUAAAUGGUAUGUAUUCCAGCUUACUCUGAAGGCAUAGUCUUUGGAUAACAAUCUAUCCUCAAAGAGAACGAGUUACUUCUCAAGACGGAUAGUUAGGGGUAAUUGUGGGACCAUGAUUUUCCAGGGCCGGAAUAAGGCCAAUCCCAAUACUGUUUUCUUAGAAGUCAAGUCAUGGACUCACCAGAGCAAUAGGUAGAGUCCUAGUGACUCUGCUAGAUGACCAUGGUUGUUCCAGAAGACAUGCGAUAUGAUCCAAAUAUAGACACAACCAGAUCCUAUAAAUCUUGGAGUUCCUACAAUCUAAGGAUAAACGUACGCAACAAGUAAUCACAAUUCCUAAAAGGAUGCAAUACCUACUUACUAAAUAUCAUCUAGGAUUCUUCCAGUUUAGAACGAGGAUUCUAUCCUAAAAAGGUCUCUUUCCCACAGUAUAAAUACAUUCAUUUAGGGUUCAUCUUUGAAAACAUAAUCUAUACACUUGAAUUCUCUUGCCCACUGCUUGAGUUUCAAAUCAUUCACUAACUUGAUCAUUGGAGAGCCUUUGGCCGACACACACACACCCUCCCACGGCCUAAGGUUUGCUUAUGGUUGUUUAUUGUUUUGCAGGUUGCUCACGAUUAUAUGGAUUUGUAUUCAACCACUCACGGGGGUGCACAGAUUUAGUUCAAACAGAUGAAAUCUGAGAGUACAGAGGAUAUAUGUUAUGCUCAUGCAGGGUAACCUAAUAUACGUACAGAAUAAUGAGAAGUUGAAAGAGAUUUUUAUCAGGCACACAUAUCAGCCUAUGUCAUGCAUCCAAAUAACAUUAAAAUGUAUCACAUUAUUUGACCUUUCAAUUAUUGGCCAUGGAUGAAAUGGGAAGUUUCCAAUUAUGUGAAUCGAUGCCUGAUUUGUUAGUAGGUUAAAGCAAAGAGAAAGAAGCCAAUAAGGUUACUACAAUCACUUAUUGUACACAAGUAGAAGUGGGAGAGUAUCACCAUAGAUUUUGUGUACAUGCUACAUUGUAUAUGUGGGGGCUAUGAUAAUACUUGAGUGAUUGUCUAUUGACUAACCAAGUCAGUGUUGGAAGUAUGCCCACAAAGCCACUCAUUUGAUGUAAUAACUUUUGGAAUACUUAUUGU
rnacentral:lncRNA from 1 species